GACGAACGCUGGCGGCGUGCUUAACACAUGCAAGUCGAACGAAGAGCGAUGGAAGCUUGCUUCUAUCAAUCUUAGUGGCGAACGGGUGAGUAACGCGUAAUCAACCUGCCCUUCAGAGGGGGACAACAGUUGGAAACGACUGCUAAUACCGCAUACGAUCUAAUCUCGGCAUCGAGGAUAGAUGAAAGGUGGCCUCUACAUGUAAGCUAUCACUGAAGGAGGGGAUUGCGUCUGAUUAGCUAGUUGGAGGGGUAACGGCCCACCAAGGCGAUGAUCAGUAGCCGGUCUGAGAGGAUGAACGGCCACAUUGGGACUGAGACACGGCCCAGACUCCUACGGGAGGCAGCAGUGGGGAAUCUUCCGCAAUGGACGAAAGUCUGACGGAGCAACGCCGCGUGAGUGAUGACGGCCGUCGGGUUGUAAAGCUCUGUUAAUCGGGACGAAAGGCCUUCUUGCGAAUAGUGAGAAGGAUUGACGGUACCGGAGUAGAAAGCCACGGCUAACUACGUG
rnacentral:rRNA from 1 species